UACGUAGGGGGCAAGCGUUAUCCGGAUUUACUGGGUGUAAAGGGAGCGUAGACGGCACGGCAAGCCAGAUGUGAAAGCCCGGGGCUCAACCCCGGGACUGCAUUUGGAACUGCUGAGCUAGAGUGUCGGAGAGGCAAGUGGAAUUCCUAGUGUAGCGGUGAAAUGCGUAGAUAUUAGGAGGAACACCAGUGGCGAAGGCGGCUUGCUGGACGAUGACUGACGUUGAGGCUCGAAAGCGUGGGGAGCAAACAGG
rnacentral:rRNA from 3 species